rnacentral:rRNA from 1 species
UUAGGAAUUUUCCACAAUGGGCGCAAGCCUGAUGGAGCAACGCCGCGUGCAGGAUGAAGGUUUUCGGAUUGUAAACUGCUUUUAUGUGUGAAGAAUAUGACGGUAACACAUGAAUAAGGAUCGGCUAACUCCGUGCCAGCAGCCGCGGUCAUACGGAGGAUCCAAGCGUUAUCCGGAUUUACUGGGCGUAAAGAGUUGCGUAGGUGGUUCGCCAAGUUUUCGUUUAAAUGCCAAGGCUCAACCUUGGAAGUGACGAAAAAACUGGCGAACUCGAGAAUGAGAGAGGUCACUGGAAUUCCUUGUGUAGGAGUGAAAUCCGUAGAUAUAAGGAGGAACACCAAUGGCGUAGGCAGGUGACUGGCUCAUUUCUGACACGGAGGCACGAAAGCGUGGGGAGCGAACGGG